GUAGGUGGCAAGCGUUGUCCGGAAUUAUUGGGCGUAAAGCGCGCGCAGGCGGUUCUUUAAGUCUGAUGUGAAAGCCCACGGCUCAACCGUGGAGGGUCAUUGGAAACUGGAGAACUUGAGUACAGAAGAGGAAAGCGGAAUUCCACAUGUAGCGGUGAAAUGCGUAGAGAUGUGGAGGAACACCAGUGGCGAAGGGGGCUUUCUGGUCUGUAACUGACGCUGAGGCGCGAAAGCGUGGGGAGCAAACAGGAUUAGAUACCCUGGUAGUCCACGCCGUAAACGAUGAGUGCUAAGUGUUAGGGGGUUUCCGCCCCCCUUAGUGCUGCAGCUAACGCAUUAAGCACUCCGCCUGGGAGUACGGCCGCAAGGCUG
rnacentral:rRNA from 1 species